AUUUGUGGUGUCUGAAGACCAAGACUACACAGCUCAUUUUGCUGAUCCUGAUACCUUAGUCAAUUGGGACUUUGUGGAACAAGUGCGCAUUUGUAGCCAUGAAGUGCCAUCUUGCCCUAUAUGCCUGUAUCCACCUACUGCAGCCAAGAUAACCCGUUGUGGACACAUCUUCUGCUGGGCAUGCAUCCUGCACUAUCUUUCACUGAGUGAGAAAACCUGGAGUAAAUGUCCUAUCUGUUACAGUUCUGUGCAUAAGAAGGAUCUCAAGAGUGUUGUUGCCACAGAGUCACAUCAGUAUGUUGUUGGGGAUACCAUUACUAUGCAGCUGAUGAAGAGGGAGAAAGGGGUGUUGGUGGCCUUGCCCAAAUCCAAAUGGAUGAAUGUAAACCAUCCCAUUCAGCUAGG